GCGGCCGGGGGACUGCGGGGCCUAAGGACCUGAGCCCGGCGGCGCGUGGCAGCGGUUUCUGAGCCCGCGCUGCAGGCUCGGGCCUCGGGCCUCGGGCCUCGGCCCGCUGCCGGGCUCCAGCUCGCGCCUCCUGCGGCCGGCUCGCGGGCCCGAGCCUGUGGCUCAAGGAGGAGCCGCUGUUGACGCUGCUCUGCCCUGUGAGGCCUCGGACAAAAUGGCCCUGCAGGGGUGGCUGUCUCCGAACACAACGGCCCUUCCCGGGGACCAACUCCAAAGUGACAGCCCUUCCCCGGGAGCCUAUUUAAUACCGAAUGUGCCGCAUAUUCCACAAUAAUACAGUUCCAUCGCCGCUGGUAAAAAGCAGAAAUGUCUCCAAUGGAUAGAUAGGGUGGACGCUUGUCCGCGAAUGUUACAGCAUAGCUUUUGAGAUCCCAGACUUGAGACUGAAGAAGCUGGCUACUUGGAAGCGUCUAUGGUGCAGACCAAGAAAGACCCAAGAAAAUAUUCCUCUCUGUAGCUGAAGGACCAGUAAAGGGGCAGGAUAGCAGACAGAAAACAUUUAGACAAUAAAUGUUCUACUCCAGACAAAAACUA